CCCAUUAGAACCCAAGUGGAAAAGAAGGAAAACACAGUACUUACCAGUCAAAGUUAUUGUAGUCAUUUUUUGCUUCUCCCCACAAGUACAGGAAGACCAGAGAAAAGCAGAAAGCUCCAACAAGGAGUGGGAAAAACACACAUUCCCGCGUCUUGCAGCAGCAUUUCCCAGGCUCGGUCCUUCUGCGCUGAUACCGCUUCCAUCGGCAGCUGUAGAAACCAGCCAGGCAGGAGAUGAAGGGCUGGUGCUCAUAUCUCUGCAGCAAGCGCCGACGUACCACCUUCAGCUUCCCAAACUUGAUCUUCUUGAGGCUGGUGGAACUGGCCUCCAUCUGAAUAGCCUUAUCUCAUCUUCUUCCUCAGCAGGGUGCACGUGGAGGGGUAUUUCUGCUCUCUGCCACACUUUGGGUGAUGGUGCCCUUCGCUCGUCGCACUCCGGGUCCCGAAUGGUGGCACGGCUCCGUGACACCCAGCAUUAGAGAGGCUGCGGAGCC
rnacentral:lncRNA from 1 species